rnacentral:lncRNA from 1 species
GCCACAACAGUCACAAACCUCUCCUUUGAAACGGGGCCAGAAAAGCACAAACCCUCUGACUCCAGGAGGUGGGAUUUUAAGAAAAGCUACCAGCAGUCGCACAGGUACUGAGGAAAAUGGUGGCACAUAAUGAGCAGGGCACUGUGACUGAAUGCGAGAGGAGAGCAUGCAGCAAGGCACCACAGCAAGAAUGAGGUGCACCCCCAAACAAGUUGUGCACAUGUGGACUGAUGCCAAUGGAACCAAUGGAAUGUCUCUGGGUACACAUUCACUGGGACUGAGGCUGCUUAUGAAGACAGAAGUUCUGGCUUCUCUGAACUUAAGAAAAUUAAGGUUCUGACAGUAGAAAACCCCAAGUGUUUCCUCACUGCUGUAAUCCACUACAUGAAGACAGGAAUUGCCCAGCACAUGUGUUCAGAACAGAACCCAGAUCUACAGUACUAACUCUGUGGUCUUCACUCUGCAUUUUCUUUUAAUGUAAUUCUGUUUACAAGCAAUAGUGCUACCAAGCUGAAAUCCUCUAUUUUGAGGAAAAAAAAUGUUGGUGCAAGAUUUUGAUCUGAAACACCAUUUAUGUAUAUCACUGAAUUUGCUUCCAGAAUAAAUGACAUGUUUCUCAUUUCCUUGUGGGAAAUAUGAAUAUUGUAGAGGUGAGAAUAUGGCGAUUAUUUUUUCUCCAUUUUCUCUUUGGACUUUAUGUAAAAGUAAGAUACCGUUGGUGCUGUGGACAAGUGUGAGACCACCAGUUAAUUUUGCAUAGCCCAUUGAACAGUUAGAUGGGAAUUGCUCUUCAGGGUGUUCUCUUUGACAAUAAACAGAAGCCUCAAGUCUGUGUUUGGCUGCAGUUCAAAAAAAUUACUAAGGAAUCCUACACACUUACGUAUAUGAAUACAAGCAACUGCACAUUCCCAUACAGUAAGCUUGCAACCACAGUUAUUAACAUUUUGAAAUGAGUAAAUGCAAAUAAAAUGACUGAGUAAUACAUGUUAUGUUAAGAUCAGCUAUAUGAAAAGCAAAAGGAUUAAAAGUUAAUUUCAUCCUUUUUAAUUCAAGGGACAUAUAAAUGGCAUUCUGGGUAGAGUCAACUCCUCUUUUAUCAGUCCUUUGAUGCUGCUUUCUCACUGAUUCAGUUGUUCAAAUGCUACCUACAUAAUAAAAUCCUGAGUUAAUUUACUAAGAUUUUACACCAGUGCAAAUGAAAGAAGGGAAAGUGCUAAACAAGGCAAUUAGCACUCUGUUUAGUGCACUCCCAAAAUAAAU